CGGGACACUGACAACUGGGACUCCAAGCGCUACGCCUGAUGGGGUGCGCCACCCUGCCAUCACCCUGGACCCCACCACGGGGUGCCUCACCAUGGGGGCCACCACGCAGGAGGGGAGGGCAGCGAGUCGGUGCUGAGCCGCCUGGUGGAGGCCGCGGGUGUGUGGGUGACGGGGGGCGGCGCUGGGGUGGUGUGUGUGUGUGUGUGUGUGUCAAACAGUCAGCAAUUCCUACCGUCAGGGCAGCGAGUCUGUGCUGAGCCGCCUGGUGGAGGCCGCGGGUGUGUGGGUGACGGGGGGCGGCGCGGUGGUGGUGUGUGUGUGUGUGUGUGUGUGUGUGUGUGUCAAGCAGUCAGCAAUUCCUUCCGUCAGGGCAGCGAGUCUGUGCUGAGCCGCCUGGUGGAGGCUGCGGGUGUGUGGGUGACGGGGGGGCGGCGCUGUCUUCAAGAUCUCCUCCUCCCCCUCAUCAUCAUGGUCAUCAUCACCUCCACCAGGUCACUGUCUCCAAGAUCUCCUCCUCCCCCUCAUCAUCAUGGUCAUCAUCACCUCCACCAGGUCACUGUCUCCAAGAUCUCCUCCUCC